rnacentral:rRNA from 1 species
UAGGGAAUAUUAGUAAUGGGCGAAAGCCUGAACUAGCAACACCGCGUGUGCGAAGAAGGCCUUCGGGUUGUAAAGCACUUUUUGGAAGGAUUAGGAAGGAAUGUACUUCCAGAAUAAGUCUCGGCUAACUACGUGCCAGCAGCCGCGGUAACACGUAGGAGGCAAACGUUAUCCGGAUUUACUGGGCGUAAAGCGCGUGUAGGUGGUUUGGUAAGUAGAGCGUGAAAGCUCCUGGCUCAACUGGGAGAGGUCGUUCUAAACUGCCGGACUAGAGGAUGGUAGAGGGAGGUGGAAUUCCGGGUGUAGCGGUGGAAUGCGCAGAUAUCCGGAGGAACACCAGUGGCGAAAGCGGCCUCCUGGCCCAUUUCUGACGCUCAGACACGAAAGCUAAGGUAGCAAACG